rnacentral:rRNA from 1 species
GAUGAACGCUAGCUACAGGCUUAACACAUGCAAGUCGAGGGGUAACGAGAGGAAAGCUUGCUUUCCUUGUCGACGACCGGCGCACGGGUGAGUAACGCGUAUCCAACCUGCCCCCAACUAGGGAAUAACCUUGCGAAAGUAAGACUAAUACCCUAUAAUUUCCUCAGAUGUCAUCUGACGAGGAAUAAAGAUUUAUCGGUUGUGGAUGGGGAUGCGUCUGAUUAGCUUGUUGGCGGGGUAACGGCCCACCAAGGCAACGAUCAGUAGGGGUUCUGAGAGGAAGGUCCCCCACAUUGGAACUGAGACGCGGUCGAAAAUCCUACGGGAGGCAGCAGUGAGGAAUAUUGGUCAAUGGGCGGAAGCCUGAACCAGCCAAGUAGCGUGCAGGAUGACGGCCCUAUGGGUUGUAAACUGCUUUUAUACAGGAAUAAAGUUAGCCACGUGUGGUUAUUUGUAGGUACCGUAUGAAUAAGGACCGGCUAAUUCCGUGCCAGCCGCCGCCGUAA